AUCACUUCUCAGCCAUUGGACGAGGAUCAAGUGUAGUGUCUGUUCUUAGGAGUCUAAACUAAUAUGGAUUCUAAAAUCUAUGACAAAUUUUUAUUUAAUUUAGCUAUUUAUGUCAUAAGAGGAAAUACUGGUUAUUCUACCAUGAGUAGAAGUGGAAGGUCCCAAUUCAUUGUCACAGUUUUU
ensembl:snRNA U2 U2 spliceosomal RNA